GACGAACGCUGGCGGCGUGCUUAACACAUGCAAGUCGAACGGAAAGGCCCUGCUUUUGUGGGGUGCUCGAGUGGCGAACGGGUGAGUAACACGUGAGUAACCUGCCCUUGACUUUGGGAUAACUUCAGGAAACUGGGGCUAAUACCGGAUAGGAGCUCCUGCUGCAUGGUGGGGGUUGGAAAGUUUCGGCGGUUGGGGAUGGACUCGCGGCUUAUCAGCUUGUUGGUGGGGUAGUGGCUUACCAAGGCUUUGACGGGUAGCCGGCCUGAGAGGGUGACCGGCCACCCUGGAAGUGAGACACGGUCCAGACGCCUACGGGAGGCAGCAGUAGGGAAUCUGCCGCAAUGGGCGAAAGCCUGACGGAGCAGCGCCGCGUGAGUGAUGAAGGUCUUCGGAUCGUAAAACUCUGUUAUUAGGGAAGAACAAAUGUGUAAGUAACUAUGCACGUCUUGACGGUACCUAAUCAGAAAGCCACGGCUAACUACGUG
rnacentral:rRNA from 1 species